rnacentral:rRNA from 1 species
GAUGAACGCUGGCGGCGUGCCUAAUACAUGCAAGUCGAGCGAACAGACGAGGAGCUUGCUCCUCUGACGUUAGCGGCGGACGGGUGAGUAACACGUGGAUAACCUACCUAUAAGACUGGGAUAACUUCGGGAAACCGGAGCUAAUACCGGAUAAUAUAUUGAACCGCAUGGUUCAAUAGUGAAAGACGGUUUUGCUGACACUUAUAGAUGGAUCCGCGCCGCAUUAGCUAGUUGGUAAGGUAACGGCUUACCAAGGCAACGAUGCGUAACCGACCUGAGAGGGUGAUCGGCCACACUGGAACUGAGACACGGUCCAGACUCCUACGGGAGGCAGCAGUAGGGAAUCUUCCGCAAUGGGCGAAAGCCUGACGGAGCAACGCCGCGUGAGUGAUGAAGGUCUUCGGAUCGUAAAACUCUGUUAUUAGGGAAGAACAAAUGUGUAAGUAACUAUGCACGUCUUGACGGUACCUAAUCAGAAAGCCACGGCUAACUACGUG